CACGUAGGGCGCAAGCGUUGUCCGGAAUUAUUGGGCGUAAAGAGCUCGUAGGCGGUCUGUUGCGUCUGCUGUGAAAACUCGGGGCUUAACCCCGAGCCUGCAGUGGAUACGGGCAGACUAGAGGUAGGUAGGGGAGAAUGGAAUUCCCGGUGUAGCGGUGAAAUGCGCAGAUAUCGGGAAGAACACCCGUGGCGAAGGCGGCUCUCUGGGACGGUACUGACGCUGAGACGCGAAAGCGUGGGGAGCGAACAGG
rnacentral:rRNA from 1 species